rnacentral:lncRNA from 1 species
ACUGGCUGUUUAAUAUCAGGGUAGAAUCAAAGCUCCAUCUUAAGCAUAUCACAUCUCAUCGAGCAUCAUUUUUUGUCGUCAGAUGGAUUCCGACUCAAAGGUCAGUAAAUAUCCAAUCUGAAGGUCGGACUAAAAUUGAUGACAUUGCACUGCUUCACUUUUGAUUUUUAGAUUCUUCUUUGAUAUUCAUGAUGAUCUUGUUGGGUCAUCAAUAGAUAUUUUAUAGUGACUUCUGGAGAAGAGGUUGGAUCAGAAAGUAGAUAAUUCUGCAACAUCAAUACAUC